AUCUGCGAUAAGCGCCGGUAAGGUGAUAUGAACCGUUAUAACCGGCGAUACCCGAAUGGGGAAACCCAGUGUGACUCGUCACACUAUCAUUAACUGAAUCCAUAGGUUAAUGAGGCGAACCGGGGGAACUGAAACAUCUAAGUACCCCGAGGAAAAGAAAUCAACCGAGAUUCCCCCAGUAGCGGCGAGCGAACGGGGAGGAGCCCAGAGCCUGAAUCAGCAUGUGUGUUAGUGGAAGCGUCUGGAAAGGCGCGCGAUACAGGGUGACAGCCCCGUACACAAAAGCGCAUGUGCUGUGAGCUCGAUGAGUAGGGCGGGACACGUGGUAUCCUGUCUGAAUAUGGGGGGACCAUCCUCCAAGGCUAAAUACUCCUGACUGACCGAUAGUGAACCAGUACCGUGAGGGAAAGGCGAAAAGAACCCCGGCGAGGGGAGUGAAAAAGAACCUGAAACCGUGUACGUACAAGCAGUGGGAGCACCCUUUGGGUGUGACUGCGUACCUUUUGUAUAAUGGGUCAGCGACUUAUAUUCUGUAGCAAGGUUAACCGAAUAGGGGAGCCGGAGGGAAACCGAGUCUUAACCGGGCGUUAAGUUGCAGGGUAUAGACCCGAAACCCGGUGAUCUAGCCAUGGGCAGGUUGAAGGUUGGGUAACACUAACUGGAGGACCGAACCGACUAAUGUUGAAAAAUUAGCGGAUGACCUGUGGCUGGGGGUGAAAGGCCAAUCAAACCGGGAGAUAGCUGGUUCUCCCCGAAAGCUAUUUAGGUAGCGCCUCGUGAAUUCAUCUCCGGGGGUAGAGCACUGUUUCGGCUAGGGGGCCAUCCCGGCUUACCAACCCGAUGCAAACUGCGAAUACCGGAGAAUGUUAUCACGGGAGACACACGGCGGGUGCUAACGUCCGUCGUGAAGAGGGAAACAACCCAGACCGCCAGCUAAGGUCCCAAAGUCAUGGUUAAGUGGGAAACGAUGUGGGAAGGCCCAGACAGCCAGGAUGUUGGCUUAGAAGCAGCCAUCAUUUAAAGAAAGCGUAAUAGCUCACUGGUCGAGUCGGCCUGCGCGGAAGAUGUAACGGGGCUAAACCAUGCACCGAAGCUGCGGCAGCGACACUGUGUGUUGUUGGGUAGGGGAGCGUUCUGUAAGCCUGUGAAGGUGUGUCGUGAGGCAUGCUGGAGGUAUCAGAAGUGCGAAUGCUGACAUAAGUAACGAUAAAGCGGGUGAAAAGCCCGCUCGCCGGAAGACCAAGGGUUCCUGUCCAACGUUAAUCGGGGCAGGGUGAGUCGACCCCUAAGGCGAGGCCGAAAGGCGUAGUCGAUGGGAAACGGGUUAAUAUUCCCGUACUUGGUGUUACUGCGAAGGGGGGACGGAGAAGGCUAUGUUGGCCGGGCGACGGUUGUCCCGGUUUAAGCGUGUAGGUGUGUGUUCCAGGUAAAUCCGGUUCACUUUAACACUGAGGCGUGACGACGAGGCACUACGGUGCUGAAGCAACAAAUGCCCUGCUUCCAGGAAAAGCCUCUAAGCAUCAGGUAACAUCAAAUCGUACCCCAAACCGACACAGGUGGUCAGGUAGAGAAUACCAAGGCGCUUGAGAGAACUCGGGUGAAGGAACUAGGCAAAAUGGUGCCGUAACUUCGGGAGAAGGCACGCUGACACGUAGGUGAAGUGAUUUACUCAUGGAGCUGAAGUCAGUCGAAGAUACCAGCUGGCUGCAACUGUUUAUUAAAAACACAGCACUGUGCAAACACGAAAGUGGACGUAUACGGUGUGACGCCUGCCCGGUGCCGGAAGGUUAAUUGAUGGGGUCAGCGCAAGCGAAGCUCCUGAUCGAAGCCCCGGUAAACGGCGGCCGUAACUAUAACGGUCCUAAGGUAGCGAAAUUCCUUGUCGGGUAAGUUCCGACCUGCACGAAUGGCGUAAUGAUGGCCAGGCUGUCUCCACCCGAGACUCAGUGAAAUUGAACUCGCUGUGAAGAUGCAGUGUACCCGCGGCAAGACGGAAAGACCCCGUGAACCUUUACUAUAGCUUGACACUGAACAUUGAGCCUUGAUGUGUAGGAUAGGUGGGAGGCUUUGAAGUGUGGACGCCAGUCUGCAUGGAGCCGACCUUGAAAUACCACCCUUUAAUGUUUGAUGUUCUAACGUGGACCCGUUACCCGGGUUGCGGACAGUGUCUGGUGGGUAGUUUGACUGGGGCGGUCUCCUCCUAAAGAGUAACGGAGGAGCACGAAGGUUGGCUAAUCCUGGUCGGACAUCAGGAGGUUAGUGCAAUGGCAUAAGCCAGCUUGACUGCGAGCGUGACGGCGCGAGCAGGUGCGAAAGCAGGUCAUAGUGAUCCGGUGGUUCUGAAUGGAAGGGCCAUCGCUCAACGGAUAAAAGGUACUCCGGGGAUAACAGGCUGAUACCGCCCAAGAGUUCAUAUCGACGGCGGUGUUUGGCACCUCGAUGUCGGCUCAUCACAUCCUGGGGCUGAAGUAGGUCCCAAGGGUAUGGCUGUUCGCCAUUUAAAGUGGUACGCGAGCUGGGUUUAGAACGUCGUGAGACAGUUCGGUCCCUAUCUGCCGUGGGCGCUGGAGAACUGAGGGGGGCUGCUCCUAGUACGAGAGGACCGGAGUGGACGCAUCACUGGUGUUCGGGUUGUCAUGCCAAUGGCACUGCCCGGUAGCUAAAUGCGGAAGAGAUAAGUGCUGAAAGCAUCUAAGCACGAAACUUGCCCCGA
rnacentral:rRNA from 1 species